rnacentral:lncRNA from 1 species
AAAGCUUAGUAAGUUAUAAGCAAAUAAAUUAUUUCAAUAACAUACAUAAUUCAAUUUAACAAGGCCAAUCAAGCAAAUCUUUACCACAUAUACAUUUAUCAUGCUUGCAAAUUCAUAUAAUCAUGUAAGUACUUUACUUACCUUUACUUUCAUGAACAUUUAAACCUUAUACGUACCUGAGCCAUUUAACUCAAAUUCACAUUCGGUCUCAUCUUGACAUUGCC